UCCGGAAGGGGCUAUCGUUGUUCGGAAUUACUGGGCGUAAAGAGCGCGUAGGCGGCUUACCAAGUUGGGGGUGAAAUCCCGGAGCUCAACUCCGGAACUGCCUUCAAAACUGGUAGGCUCGAGUCCGGAAGAGGGGCGUGGAAUUCCCAGUGUAGAGGUGAAAUUCGUAGAUAUUGGGAAGAACACCGGUGGCGAAGGCGGCGCCCUGGUCCGGUACUGACGCUGAGGCGCGAAAGCGUGGGGAGAAAACAGG
rnacentral:rRNA from 1 species